AUUGAACGCUGGCGGCAUGCCUUACACAUGCAAGUCGAACGGCAGCACGGGUGCUUGCACCUGGUGGCGAGUGGCGAACGGGUGAGUAAUACAUCGGAACGUACCUUAUCGUGGGGGAUAACGCAGCGAAAGCUGUGCUAAUACCGCAUACGCCCUGAGGGGGAAAGCGGGGGAUCGCAAGACUCCGCGCGAUUAGAGCGGCCGAUGCCUGAUUAGCUAGUUGGUGGGGUAAAAGCCCACCAAGGCGACGAUCAGUAGCUGGUCUGAGAGGACGAUCAGCCACACUGGGACUGAGACACGGCCCAGACUCCUACGGGAGGCAGCAGUGGGGAAUUUUGGACAAUGGGGGCAACCCUGAUCCAGCAAUGCCGCGUGAGUGAAGAAGGCCUUCGGGUUGUAAAGCUCUUGUCAGGGAAGAAACACCGGCUCUAACACAGUCCGGGAAUGACGGUACCUGAAGAAUAAGCACCGGCUACUACGUGCCAGCAGCCGCCGUAA
rnacentral:rRNA from 1 species